GACGAACGCUGGCGGCGUGCCUAAUACAUGCAAGUCGAGCGGACUGAUUAAGAGCUUGCUCUUAUGACGUUAGCGGCGGACGGGUGAGUAACACGUGGGCAACCUGCCCUGUAGAUCGGGAUAACACCGAGAAAUCGGUGCUAAUACCGGGUAAUAUCUGAGAUCACAUGAUCUUAGGUUAAAAGAUGGCUCCGGCUAUCACUACAGGAUGGGCCCGCGGCGCAUUAGCUAGGUGGUAAGGUAAUGGCUUACCAAGGCGACGAUGCGUAGCCGACCUGAGAGGGUGUUCGGCCACACUGGGACUGAGACACGGCCCAGACUCCUCCGGGAGGCAGAAGUGGGGAAUCUUCCGCAAUGGACGAAAGUCUGACGGAGCAACGCCGCGUGAGUGAUGAAGAGUUUCGGCUCGUAAAGCUCUGUUGUUAGGGAAGAAACAGUACCGAACGAACUAGGUCGGUACCUUGACGGUACCUAAACAGAAAGCCACGGCUAACUACGUG
rnacentral:rRNA from 1 species